rnacentral:rRNA from 1 species
CUUUUGCGCUAGAAAGGACUCUUAAUUCAACAUCGAGGUCACAAACUCAUUUGUCAAUUAGAACUAUCAAAAUGAAUAAAGCUGUUAUCCCUAAAGUAACUUAUUCUUCUUUUAAAAUUUUUAGAUAUUAAGACUUAAAAUCUUUAGCUUCAAGAAAAGAUUUUUUUCCUACCGCCCCAGUNAAAUAUUUAAACUACUAUUUUAAAGUAAAAUAAAAUAUAAAGUUUUAUAGGGUCUUCUCGUCUUUAAGAAAUAUUUUAGCCUUCUUACUAAAAAGUCAACUUCAUUUUUUUACUCUUAAAAAAGCUUUUCCAGUUUACCCUUUCAUUCCAG